rnacentral:rRNA from 1 species
AAGUCGAGGGGCAGCACGGUGUAGCAAUACACUGGUGGCGACCGGCGCACGGGUGCGUAACGCGUAUGCAACCUACCCAUAACAGGGGGAUAACACUGAGAAAUUGGUACUAAUACCCCAUAACAUCAGGACCGGCAUCGGUUCUGGUUGAAAACUCCGGUGGUUAUGGAUGGACAUGCGUUGUAUUAGCUAGUUGGUGAGGUAACGGCUCACCAAGGCAACGAUACAUAGGGGGACUGAGAGGAAGGUCCCCACAUUGGAACUGAGACACGGUCCAAACUCC